CUCUUCUCUAGUAUUGCCUGUACUUGAAGAUUAAAAGGUAUGCUAGUGAUGUGUAAAAUCUUACACUGUGCACAAAAGUGUGUAAAAUGUUUAGAAGCACAUGCAGGUCCAUUGUCUGUUUCCAUUGCUUGUGGCGCACCCAUAAUUGCAAAUGCUUGUAUAAGGAAUUCAGUGACCACUCAGGGUGUCUCUUUUGCUGCUGGUAUUACAAAAGUGAAUCCUGAAAAAGUGUCUACCACAACAUGGAUAAAAGACAGAGGACCAAAAGAUUUAUAGUGGGUCACAUCCAUUUGCCAAAUUUCAUUGGGUCUCAAACCACAAGGGUUCUUCUCUGGAGUCAAUGUAGGAGCGUGGAAAGGAAGGCAAGCUGUACAGGUAUUUACAAUGCUCCUAGCUUCCUCUCUUGUUUUUCCAAAUUAUAAAUAUAAAGCUCAAGCAGCCUGAUGAUAUUUAGAAUGAGAUUCUUGGGCUGCCUGAAAUAAAGGAGUAUUGACCAACAUCGUUAGAAGGCUAUCUGCCUUUGAAUUACCAUCAAAAAUAGAACCUGGAAGUCCACUAUGAGAGUGGAACUGCAAGAUAUCAAUCUUACCUGGAUGCUUUCUCACUUGCUCUUGAAGUUCCUAAAAGAGCUGAUAUAUAUUAGAAGCUACAAAUUUUAUUUGGGCUAUGGCAAUGCUUUGUAGAACAGGCCGAAUCAGAUGUUAUCUCCAGAAUAAGUAAGAGCUAGAAUGAUCCCAUACAAUUCAUUCUGCUGAGUGGACUGAAAAGGAGUUCUGAUUUAUAAUUUAUAAUUUAUAAUUUAUAAUUUAUAAUUAAAUCACAAGAGUAUACAGCACAAAUAUUAUGUUUGGAUGCAUCUGUAAAGAGAGUUGGUCCUUUAAGACGAACUUUAGAAACUUUUUCUUCAAGAACCCACCCUCAAUUAUGUAAUAGUCUGCUUAUCUUUAAUGGAGACCCGUGUAUAAAAUUUGGAGCCAUAGCUAAUAAAAUUUGCCGCUCUGGGAUGGUUUCACAGCAUACAUUAAUUUGUGCAUUAGUAUAAAAGGUGUCUAUCUUAUCAGGUCUUAUCCCAGAUAAUUGUUAUCUGGCUCGCUUAAUGUCUU